rnacentral:precursor_RNA from 15 species
UCGAGCACGAUGACCCCGUCCAAUGGACGAUAUCACAGCAAUCACAAUGAGAAGAAUACAUCUAGAUACUCUUUUCAUUGGUUUCUGUGAAAUCGUAUUUGAAUGGAAAGUUUUAUAUUGAAGA